rnacentral:rRNA from 1 species
AGAGUUUGAUCCUGGCUCAGGACGAACGCUGGCGGCGUGCUUAACACAUGCAAGUCGAGCGAAGCGCAUAGAUUAGCUUGCUAAUUUUUGUGACUGAGCGGCGAACGGGUGAGUAACACGUGGGUAAUCUGCCUGGAAGCCUGGGAUAACAGUUGGAAACGGCUGCUAAUACCGGAUAACAUUUAAGCUGUAGAGGCUUAAAUCAAAGCGUUAUGUAGCGCUUUCAGAUGAGCCCGCGUCCCAUUAGUUAGUUGGUGGGGUAAAGGCCUACCAAGGCGACGAUGGGUAGCCGGUCUGAGAGGAUGGUCGGCCACACUGGGACUGAGACACGGCCCAGACUCCUACGGGAGGCAGCAGUGGGGAAUUUUGCGCAAUGGGGGCAACCCUGACGCAGCGACGCCGCGUGAGCGAAGAAAGCCUUCGGGUUGUAAAGCUCUGUCUAGGGGGAAGAUAGUGACGGUACCCCUGGAGGAAGCCCCGGCUAACUACGUGCCAGCAGCCGCGGUAAGACGUAGGGGGCGAGCGUUGUCCGGAAUUACUGGGCGUAAAGGGCGUGUAGGCGGCUUUUUAAGUCAGCUGUGAAAUUCCCCGGCUCAACCGGGGGCCUGCAGUUGAAACUAGAAGGCUUGAGUGCAGGAGAGGAG